AUGGGCUUGUCUUCUGGAAACUUUGCAAAGAGAAAGCCAGAGAACGUGGCCACCCAAAUGUCAGUUGGUCUCUCAAUAGGUCAAGAAGCUGAACGUGGCUAUCUGAUGGUUCCUGGUGCUCACAGAGUGACAAACUGCUUCAACAUGUCACUUAGAGAGACUGAGCAGGACAUGUUGUCAUGGGACCCGCACCAGGCCUCCUGUCUGCACCUGGCGUGCCCGCAUGCCUCAGGGGGAUUGUUGAAGGGACCCAGGGACGCUUCUGGGUCGCCCCAGCCCUGCACAAUGCUGAUAUAUAGAAGGACCACGAUGACAAAAAAUAAACUAUGGACUCCACAACUGAAGACACUCACAGGUCUUGGUGCCCGGCCCAGCUUCUUUCAAAAUGCUGUUCAUGAAUUCGCUGCAAGCUCAGCUUUGACGGUGAUCAUUCCACGCUCCCAAGUGCAUACAAGUUGGUCAAAGUGAACACCAAUUUUGAUGCUGUGAUGCUCUGAACAUUGAAAUGGCCGUCAGGACCAAAGGUGUGGAUGAGAUCACCAUUGUCAACAUUUUGACCAGCUGCAGCAGUUAACAGAGAUAGGAUACUACCUUCACCUACCAGAGAAGGACCAAAAAGGAACUUGCAUUUGCACUGAAGUCAGCCUUGUCUGGCCACCUGGAGACAUGAUUUGGGGCCUAUUGAAAACACCUGCUCAGUAUGAUGCUUCUGACUUGAAAGCCUCCACGUAGGGGCUGGGGACUGAGGAGGCCUCCUUUAUUGAGAUCAUCUGCUCAAGGACCAACUGAGAGCUUCAAGAAAUUAGCAAAGUCUACAAGGAAACCUACAAGACUGAUCUGGAGAAGGACAUCAUUUCUGACACAUCUGGUGACUUCCGCAAGCUGAUGGUUGCCCUUGCAAAAGGAAGAAGAGCAGAGUAUGGCUCUGUCAUUGACCAUGAACUGAUUGACCAAGAUGCCCAGGAUCGCUAUGAUGCUGGAGUGAAGAGGAAAGGAACUGAUGUGCCCGAGUGGAUCAGUGUCAUGACGGAGCAGAGUGUGUCCUCUCCAGAAAGUAUUUGACAGGUACAGGAGCUACAGCCCUAUGACACAUUGGAGAGGCUCAAGAAGGAGGUCAAAGGAGAAACAUGGAAACUGCUUUUCUGAACCUGGUCCAGCGUAUUCAGAACAAGCCCCUCUAUUUUGCUGACCGACUGUACGACUCCAUGAAGGGCAAGGGAACUCGCGAGACAGUCCUGACUGGAAUCAUGGUCUCUCGAAGUGAAGUGGACGGUGUUGAAAACCAGGUCCUGUUUCAAGAAGUAUGGCAAGUCCCUGUACUACUGCAACCAGCAAGACACAAAGGGCAACUACCAGAAAGUGCUGCUGUCCCUGUGUGGUAGGGAUGACUGAGCCCCAGGAGGGGUGCGACUUUGUUUCCAGCUAACAGUUCUAGAAAAUAGCUUGUGACUAACAGUCCCCUUAUGCCCAUCCCUGAGAGGAUGACGUUAGCAUUGUCCCCUCCCAUCCUUAUUUCAGUUGCCAAACAUUGCCUGCCUCUCGUGUCUAGUCUCUCCUUUUAGCCAAAGAAAUGAACAUUCCAAGGAGUUGGAAGUGAAAUCUGUGAUGUGAAGCACUUUGCCUCUUAUUCAUACCCAGAUGAAUAAACUGAAUAUUUGCUUUAUAAACA
rnacentral:lncRNA from 1 species